UCUGGGUCGCAUGGCUACGUGCUGUGCCUGAGCUUGAUGUGGUUUCGACUGUGUUCGGCUUGGCUGGUAUAGUGGUCGUGCAGCCUUUCUGCCGUGUCUGUGUAACAGGUGCUGGUUGGUUAACUCCGGUUGGCCGAUUGGCAUGCUUCAAGAUGCCUUUAAACGGGUGUCGGGAGCGGACGGCACGUUUACUUUGAACAAAUUUGAGUGCUCAAAGCAGGCCGGUGCGCCUGAAAAUUCUUGCAUGGAAUAAUGGAAUAGGACUUCGGUUCUAUUUUGUUGGUUUUCGGAUCCGAAGUAAU
rnacentral:rRNA from 1 species